UACGUAGGGACCAAGCGUUGUUCGGAUUUACUGGGCGUAAAGGGCGCGUAGGCGGCGUGGUAAGUCACUUGUGAAAUCUCUGAGCUUAACUCAGAACGGCCAAGUGAUACUGCUGUGCUCGAGUGUGGAAGGGGCAAUCGGAAUUCUUGGUGUAGCGGUGAAAUGCGUAGAUAUCAAGAGGAACACCUGAGGUGAAGACGGGUUGCUGGGCCAACACUGACGCUGAGGCGCGAAAGCCAGGGAGCAAACGGG
rnacentral:rRNA from 1 species